rnacentral:rRNA from 1 species
AACGAACGCUGGCGGCAGGCCUAACACAUGCAAGUCGAGCGAGCAUUUCGGUGCUAGCGGCGGACGGGUGAGUAACGCGUGGGAACGUGCCCUUUUCUGCGGAAUAGUCCUGGGAAACUGGGGGUAAUACCGCAUACGCCCUUUUGGGGAAAGAUUUAUCGGAGAAGGAUCGGCCCGCGUUGGAUUAGGUAGUUGGUGGGGUAAUGGCCCACCAAGCCGACGAUCCAUAGCUGGUUUGAGAGGAUGAUCAGCCACACUGGGACUGAGACACGGCCCAGACUCCUACGGGAGGCAGCAGUGGGGAAUCUUAGACAAUGGGGGCAACCAUGAUCUAGCCAUGCCGCGUGAGUGAUGAAGGCCUUAGGGUUGUAAAGCUCUUUCAGCUGGGAAGAUAAUGACGGUACCAGCAGAAGAAGCCCCGGCUAACUCCGUG